GAUAUACUCCCUCCGUUCGGAAUUACUUGUCGUGAAAAUGGAUGUAUCUAGAACUAAAAUACGUCUAGAUACAUCCAUUUCUGCGACAAGUAAUUCCGAACGGAGGGAGUAUAUC
rnacentral:pre_miRNA from 1 species